rnacentral:lncRNA from 1 species
AGCACAAAUAUACCUCAAAACUUGACUAUUAUCAGAAGCUUUAUACUAAAACAUACUAGUACAAAUAUACCUUCUACUACAUUUGCUUGAUACUAAUGGAUAAUAGUACAAAGAUACCUCAGAAGCCUAUUAUCAGAAGGCUUUUAUAUGAAAAAAUAACAUCCUUCAGACCUGUACGCUGCUGGUGCGAAUACGCUUUUCAUCAGCCUUCCCAGCUUCUCAGCCUUCAAGUCUGGAACAUUAAGUUACAACCAAGGGUUAAUCAAUAUUACAUGGAUGUGAUAGUAAUACAAAAGAACAGAAUAUAUAGAGAAAACAUUGCUCUACUUAUUACAGAGAUAGAAAUAAAGGUUACCUAAUUUAUGGUAAAACCACUAUUUCUGCAAGUGGAGAUGCUCUAGGAAAUCCUAGGAUGUACUGGGUGAUGGAUGACAGGACCACCACAGAAGUCCCUAUGCAUUGGUCAUACUUCACCACCAUUUUCUUCAGAUUAGGCGAAGUCUCAAGAACCAUUUCCAUUAGAUCAAGAGCAGAUUGAUUUUCACAAGCAAGGUUUUCUACUUCAACCAUUUCAAGGUUACUUAACAAAAGUCCCUGAAAAAAGCUUAUGUCUUGAAUAUCAUCAUAAGAACGUCCCUGAUCAUACAAAAUUGAGGGUUACAUAUAAGAAAAGAUAAAUUUGCCUUUUGAAGAGUUGUGAAUUGCUAUCCCUGAAACCUAAUUGUACGUACCUUAAGAUGGUUGUAAUCUUCACGAUUCUUGUACAC